AUCACUAGUUGACUGUGCUGCUGUAGCUGUGGCCAACUGGAUUUUGAUGGAUGAUUUUGUGAGGAAAAUGCUGCUGGAAUGGGGGAUGGAGGAGUUAAUACACACUUUCAAGGGAUGUCAGAGCUAUCCUGAUGGACUCUUUUAACGGAGAGAACUUCGUGAAGGAAAUGGAUAAUGGAAUGCUUUCUGUACAAUCUCGCAUAAAGGUUGUGCGAAUCCUGGUGUCUUGGUUAAUACAAGAAUUUACAAGCAAGCCACCUACAGAUGUCAAGGUCGCUCUAGCCAAGGCGGUGGUGUCGCAAUUUCCCAAGCUAAAGGACCUUGAAGGAGUAGGUCAUGAAGCAUGGUAUUCUCCAGCUAGGGAGAAACGGGAGGCAUCUGGAUAUUUGGAAUACCGACUUGUAAAUGUACGAAAGAGAGCACAAAAAAGUGCACCAAUUACAUCGGAGCCAAAGAAGACACCCAAAGCCACCAUGGGAGACUUAACAGAUUCAGCAGGACUUCAGGAUUCUUUAUCCAGAGGUUGCAGAUAAGCUGUUCUUAGAGUGGCCCAAAAUAGCUCCCCUGGUACUGAAGUAUGCAGACCUCCAUAACCCGACAUGGCGGGAAUCUUUGACUGUUCCACAUCUCGCAUCUUCUGACUUGACAUGUCCUGCAGCAGAAGUGGAGACCAUGGCACUUCUUGCGCUUCCUCAAAUCUCGCCUCCAGGAAUGAAGAAGGUGGGGAAGCGUAGUAUGAGAUGCAGCAGGGCAGAAUCAUCCAAAGCCUUCAUCAACAUCGGCCCAGUGGGGACAAACCUUCCAGAGUACCUAGAGAACUGCCAGCAAAAGCAACCUUUUGUGCUCGCCCUUGGGGACAUCCUCAAGCCAGAGCAAGUGUUCGUUAUUUGCGAUGGUGCUGCCUUGGAAGCAAUGUCCCUCAUUCACGGAGUGGACCUUUGCUUUAAGGCCAUCUAUAUUCUGUGGGUAAAUUAUCCUUGGGAGGCAGCCAACACUUAUGACUUUCUGCAGAAAGUCAUUUACAACGCCAUCUAGUACCAUUUCCCUUAGGCUUACAUCUCUAAUUUUUCAUCAUAGAGUCCUAGGCAUGGAGUGGUGCAAGAAACUUGCAAUUGAUUGCAAGUCAUUUUCAGGUACCGGCCUAAUCAAUCAUUAAUCUUACAAUCAAUUUCAAAUUUGCAAUUGAUUGCUGGUCAACAAAUAUAAAUUAUUUGCUUUAGUUAAGAUUGUUGUAUCACUUGUAAAUUUUUCAACCAAAAUUUGUGAUUGAUUGUAAAUGUUUUCUUGCAACACCCCCUAAGAAGAACAAACUGCUGUUUGGGGAAUUGUUCCUGGAGUAUGCAGAUUGAAAUGCUAUCUUGUACAUGUUUACUGAAGUCAUAUCAAAACUCCAAGCAAACUAUACUAAUUGUUUUGACAUAUUUUGCAAAUGUGGGCUACUACCUUUAAAGUCUUAUUCAAACAAGGCACGACAAAGCUCAGCAACUUUUGUGUACAAAGUCAAUGGGAUAUGAGGCGUCAAAUAUGUUUCAGAGACAAGUGACCUUUUUUGAAAAGUAGACCAAUUAAAUUUCUUUAAAUAGCGCAAAAUAAUUUUUCCAGAUGAUCUUUAUACAGGUUAUAGUUAUACUAUGUUACGUGUGAUGAUGCAAAAUCCUUUUUGUGCCACUUUCACCAUUUAACAUAGGAAUUGGUAAGAAGGUCAUACUGGCUGUUACUUGAAUAAAUUCAUGAAAAUGGUCUAAACAAUGACAACAGGCUACAUCUGGAGGAAUAACAUAAUUCUUAAAAAAUGGAAUUUCUCGGAUUGUCAUCAGACCUACCAACUUCUCCUUUUUAAAAGGAGUUACUCCUUUUUAGAAAUUCUAAUAUACAUUUUACCAUAUGGUUAAAGAAAUCUUAUUGUCCAGGUAUCUUACACUAAUCUAUGUGAAAUAUGCUGUGACUCCUAUUUUUUAAAUGAAUCAGUCCUAUAUUUAAGUUUACAGGUUGGUAGGCAUGUGGCAUUUUUGAAAAAUUGUUUUUCAAAAACAGGAUCACUGUAAGUAGAAUUUGAUAAAUGAAUAUAAAAAGAGUGGUUUCUUAGCUUUAGGUACAUUCAGAAUUAGAUUGUCAACGACAUUCAUGAUCAUCUCAUGAAUAUGUUUUUUUUUUCAUUGUACUCUAGUUUUGCAUGAAUACAAUGCCAGCAAUGGCCGAACGCUAUGGCCCGAAUUCACAAAAAAAAAUUUCAAACCAUGAGGCGGUUUAACCCUAAAAAGACUGAUCUCAACAUAUUUCUCGAUAAAUCUGUAGCUGGUGCCGCGCAGUUCCAUGACUUUAUUCUUGCAAGUCUUGUGCAAUUUUUUAGACCAAAUUUGUGACUCCCGGGUAUGCACUUCCGAAAUUACACAACAUUUCAUAAAUGCAUGUUGACCCAAAAUUGCUCAAAAAAGUGAAUUUUUGUACAAAUCCAAUGUAAAUUGUGUGUUUAGCCAAAAUUCAUAAAUGUAUCAUUAUUUCCCAUUUUACUAAUCAAACUCAGUUUUAUCUUGUUUAUGGUCAGAAUAAAGUUGCGGGCGAUUUCCAGAAAAAAAAUAGAAAACUAAAAGUUGAAAAACAAAGUAAAUACAUAAGAAAUUUUAAAAACCAUAAAAUACAAAAGAAAAGAAUUACGAUAUUGAAUUUCCAAUCAGAAUCCUACAAAGAGUCUGAAUAAAAAAUGGAAGCAUUGAUUUUACGUAUAAAUUAGCAUAAUUAUGAGAUUUUUCAAAAUAUGUGUAUAUUACAAAUGACAGAAUCUGCCCAAAUGCGCAGAAAAAUGUUAAUAUCUCAAACAACGUUCCCAAAUCACAUUUAACAAUUCCUCUGAAAAAUAUUUCUGGCUUUACAAUGAUACCAGCCAAAAGUAGGUUUAUAACUGAACAUCAUACUGUUUUUGACCUUCCUUAAUUGAUUUGGAGCAAAAACUUUGAUUCCAGCAUAAUUUAUAUUAUGCGUAAAUUAGCAUAAUUUAUAUUAUGCGUAAAUUCGCAUAAUUAAUGAAAUUAUAUAAUUUUUUGAAAAAGUAACUAAUAUUUUUGUAGGUUUUGUCAUGGGUGAUAUAAUUGCCCUAUAAGGGUCAACUCUAAAAAGCCUUCGGGGGGGGGGGUCAAAAUAGCUCAGUAUUUUUACGGUUAAGGGAGUUGAAAAUAAUGAUUUUUAAUGUUUCACAGUAAUAUAUGUAAAUGAAAUGUUCUCAAAAUACUUUGAUUAAAAUUUUUUGAUUAAACUAUUAAAUCAAAUACACAGUGUAUAUUUGCAUGUUGCCUUGAAUGUAUGUAUAAGAUGGUUUGCUCCUGUAAUAUAUGUAAAUGAAAUGUUCUCAAAAUACUUUGAUUAAAAUUUUUUGAUUAAACUAUUAAAUCAAA
rnacentral:lncRNA from 1 species